rnacentral:rRNA from 1 species
UACGAAGGGGGCUAGCGUUGUUCGGAAUUACUGGGCGUAAAGCGCACGUAGGCGGACAUUUAAGUUGGAGGUGAAAGCCUUGGGCUCAACCCAAGAAUUGCCUUUGAUACUGGAUGUCUCGAGACCGGGAGAGGUGGAGUGGAAUUCCGAGUGUAGAGGUGAAAAUUCGUAGAUAUUCGGAAGAACACCAGUGGCGAAGGCGGCUCACUGGCCCGGUUCUGACGCUGAGGUGCGAAAGCGUGGGAGCAACAGG